rnacentral:rRNA from 1 species
GACGAACCGUGCAAACGUUGUUCGGAAUCACUGGGCUUAAAGAGCGCGUAGGCGGGUAGCCAAGUCAGGGGUGAAAUCUUUCGGCUCAACCGGAAAACUGCCUUUGAUACUGGCUGUCUUGAGGGAGGUAGGGGCAUGUGGAACUUCCGGUGGAGCGGUGAAAUGCGUUGAUAUCGGAAGGAACGCCGGUGGCGAAAGCGACGUGCUGGAUCUCUUCUGACGCUGAGGCGCGAAAGCUAGGGGAGCGAACGGG